AGAGAUGUAGUAUAGUUAUUAUAUUUGGUUUGGGACUAAAAGAUAUUACUUUUGUAAUCAUUUCUA
rnacentral:tRNA from 1 species